rnacentral:rRNA from 1 species
GUCGUGAGAUGUUGGGUUAAGUCCCGCAACGAGCGCAACCCUUGCCUUUAGUUGCCAGCAGUUCGGCUGGGCACUCUAAAGGGACUGCCGGUGUUAAACCGGAGGAAGGUGGGGAUGACGUCAAGUCCUCAUGGCCUUUAUGACCAGGGCUACACACGUACUACAAUGGCCGAUACAAAGGGCAGCGACACUGCGAGGUGAAGCCAAUCCCGUAAAAUCGGUCUCAGUCCGGAUUGGAGUCUGCAACUCGACUCCAUGAAGUUGGAAUCGCUAGUAAUCGUGGAUCAGCAUGCCACGGUGAAUACGUUCCCGGGCCUU